rnacentral:rRNA from 1 species
CAGUAGCCGCGGGAAUACGAAGGGGGCUAGCGUUGCUCGGAAUGACUGGGCGUAAAGGGCGCGUAGGCGGCGAUCAAAGUCAGGCGUGAAAUUCCUGGGCUCAACCUGGGGGCUGCGCUUGAUACUUGGUUGCUUGAGUGGGGAAGAGGGUCGUGGAAUUCCCAGUGUGGAGGUGAAAUUCGUAGAUAUUGGGAAGAACACCGGUGGCGAAGGCGGCGACCUGGUCCUUGACUGACGCUGAGGCGCGAAAGCGUGGGGAGCAAACAGGAUUAGAUACCCCCGUAGUCCCUGUCUCUUAUAC